rnacentral:rRNA from 1 species
GAUGAACGCUGGCGGCGUGCCUAAUACAUGCAAGUCGAGCGAACGGACGAGAAGCUUGCUUCUCUGAUGUUAGCGGCGGACGGGUGAGUAACACGUGGAUAACCUACCUAUAAGACUGGGAUAACUUCGGGAAACCGUAGCUAAUACCGGAUAAUAUUUUGAACCGCAUGGUUCAAAAGUGAAAGACGGUCUUGCUGUCACUUAUAGAUGGAUCCGCGCUGCAUUAGCUAGUUGGUAAGGUAACGGCUUACCAAGGCAACGAUGCAUAGCCGACCUGAGAGGGUGAUCGGCCACACUGGAACUGAGACACGGUCCAGACUCCUACGGGAGGCAGCAGUAGGGAAUCUUCCGAAAUGGGCGAAAGCCUGACGGAGCAACGCCGCGUGAGUGAUGAAGGUCUUCGGAUCGUAAAACUCUGUUAUAGGGAAGAACAUAUGUGUAAGUAACUGUGCACAUCUUGACGGUACCUAAUCAGAAAGCCACGGCUAACUACGUG